rnacentral:rRNA from 1 species
CUUGGUCAUUUAGAGGAAGUAAAAGUCGUAACAAGGUUCCACUUGUGGCUUAAAGCUCGGUAAGUUGCCUUCUUUAACCUAUGAAGCCUUGAAGCACCAGUCUGGCAGCCAUAGCUGCUGGGCAACACUUGCCUGUUGCUGGCGUCCCAUCAGGGUACCAGCAGUCGUUUUAAAAUGCGAUUCACAGAUCAAACGCAAGUGGUACUCUCAACUCUUACGAAACGAGUAUUUUGAUAUGAUCGGUCCUUCUUUUAACUAAGAUGGAUUUUACGUUCCGUAGGUGAACCUGCGGAAGGAUCAUUAACGAGUUAGGGUCGUUCUGGCCCAGACUUCCAACCCUUUGCUUACCACACUAUGUUGCUUUGGCGGGUCCGCCCUUAAAAUUUAGGGCCGCCGGAGGUUUUUUGGCCUCUGGUCCGUACCCGCCAGUAGCCUUUAUUAAAUUCUUUUAAACUGUGUCGUCUGAGUGGCAUUUUAAAAUCGUUUUAAAACUUUCAACAACGGAUCUCUCGGUUCUGGCAUCGAUGAAGAACGCAGCGAAAUGCGAUAAGUAAUGCGAAUUGCAGAAUUCAGUGAGUCAUCGAAUCUUUGAACGCAUAUUGCGCCCUUUGGUAUUCCGAAGGGCAUGCCUGUUCGAGCGUCAUUAUCAACCAUCAAGCUUGGCUUGUUGUUGGACCCCUUUUGGUCGGGAUUGGCUCCCGACCGGUCCGAAAGAUAAUGAACGGCUGUUUAAUGGCCUUUUGAUGCAACGAGCUUUUUGUAAAGCACGCAUCGAAUGGUGGUUAGGGCCUGUUCGCCUUUUUUUUUCUAACGGUUGACCUCGGAUCAGGUAGGAAUACCCGCUGAACUUAAGCAUAUCAAUAAGCGGAGGA